rnacentral:rRNA from 1 species
GUGGAUUAGAUACCCUGGUAGUCCACGCCGUAAACGAUGGGCACUAGGUGUGGGAGGUGUCGACUCCUCCCGUGCCGUCGCUAACGCAUUAAGUGCCCCGCCUGGGGAGUACGGCCGCAAGGCUAAAACUCAAAGGAAUUGACGGGGGCCCGCACAAGCAGCGGAGCAUGUGGUUUAAUUCGACGCAACGCGAAGAACCUUACCUGGGCUUGACAUGUACCUGACCGUCCUGGAAACAGGGCUUCCCUUCGGGGCAGGUUCACAGGUGGUGCAUGGCUGUCGACAGCU